rnacentral:rRNA from 1 species
GACGUAGGGGGCCAGCGUUGCUCGGAAUUACUGGGCGUAAAGGGCUCGUAGGCGGCCAACUAAGUCGGACGUGAAAUCCCUCGGCUUAACCGGGGAACUGCGUCCGAUACUGGAUGGCUUGAGUUUGGGAGAGGGAUGCGGAAUUCCACGUGUAGCAGUGAAAUGCGUAGAUAUGUGGAGGAAUACCGAUGGCGAAGGCAGCCCCCUGGGAUAACACUGACGCUCAUGCACGAAAGCGUGGGGAGCAAACAGG